UACGGAGGGGGCUAGCGUUGUUCGGAAUUACUGGGCGUAAAGGGCUCGUAGGUGGCCAACUAAGUCAGACGUGAAAUCCCCAGGCUCAACUUGGGAACUGCGUCUGAUACUGGAUGGCUUGAAUCCGGGAGAGGGAUGUGGAAUUCCAGGUGUAGCGGUGAAAUGCGUAGAUAUCUGGAGGAACACCGGUGGCGAAGGCGACAUCCUGGACCGGUAUUGACGCUGAGGCGCGAAAGCCAGGGGAGCAAACGGG
rnacentral:rRNA from 1 species